GACGAACGCUGGCGGCGUGCCUAAUACAUGCAAGUAGAACGCACAGUUUAUACCGUAGCUUGCUACACCAUAGACUGUGAGUUGCGAACGGGUGAGUAACGCGUAGGUAACCUGCCUGGUAGCGGGGGAUAACUAUUGGAAACGAUAGCUAAUACCGCAUAAUAUUAAUUAUUGCAUGAUAAUUAAUUUAAAGGUGCAAUUGCACCACUACCAGAUGGACCUGCGUUGUAUUAGCUAGUAGGUGAGGUAACGGCUCACCUAGGCGACGAUACAUAGCCGACCUGAGAGGGUGAUCGGCCACACUGGGACUGAGACACGGCCCAGACUCCUACGGGAGGCAGCAGUAGGGAAUCUUCGGCAAUAGACGAAAGUCUGACCGAGCAACGCCGCGUGAGUGAAGAAGGUUUUCGGAUCGUAAAGCUCUGUUGUAAGAGAAGAACGGGUGUGAGAGUGGAAAGUUCACACUGUGACGGUAUCUUACCAGAAAGGGGCGGCUAACUACGUG
rnacentral:rRNA from 1 species